rnacentral:rRNA from 1 species
AAAACUCUAAGCGGUGGAUCACUCGGCUCAUGGGUCGAUGAAGAACGCAGCAAACUGUGCGUCAUCGUGUGAACUGCAGGACACAUGAACAUCGACAUUUUGAACGCAUAUCGCAGUCCAUGCUGUUAUGUACUUUAAUUAAUUUUAUAGUGCUGCUUGGACUACAUAUGGUUGAGGGUUGUAAGACUAUGCUAAUUAAGUUGCUUAUAAAUUUUUAUAAGCAUAUGGUAUAUUAUUGGAUAAAUAUAAUAAUUUUUAUUCAUAAUAUUAAAAAAUAAAUGAAAAACAUUAUCUCACAUUUGAAUGUGAAAAACGAAGAGAAAUAUUUUCUUUUUCAAUCAAAUAAUACUGAGAAAUGUCUAGCAUAAAAAAUUGAAAUAUUUUUCAUCUAGAAUUGUCUCUUAUUAAUGAUUCGGAAAUAGAAAAAUCUUGGUUAUGUUAUUAUUCUUCGUUGGUUCGUUAAAAAUGGAUAAAUAAAAACUUUGCAUACAAGAAUUAAUAAAAAUGUUAUAACGAAUUUAAUUAAAUGUUUUAUCAUUAUAUAUAAAGAAUUUAUGGCAAGAUAAAGUUAUAUACAACCUCAACUCAUAUGGGACUACCCCCUGAAUUUAAGCAUAUUAAUUAGGGGAGGAAAAGAAACUAACAAGGAUUUUCUUAGUAGCGGCGAGCGAAAAGAAAACAGUUCAGCACUAAGUCACUUUGUCUAUAUGGCAAAUGUGAGAUGCAGUGUAUGGAGCGUCAAUAUUCUAGUAUGAGAAAUUAACGAUUUAAGUCCUUCUUAAAUGAGGCCAUUUACCCAUAGAGGGUGCCAGGCCCGUAUAACGUUAAUGAUUACUAGAUGAUGUUUCCAAAGAGUCGUGUUGCUUGAUAGUGCAGCACUAAGUGGGUGGUAAACUCCAUCUAAAACUAAAUAUAACCAUGAGACCGAUAGUAAACAAGUACCGUGAGGGAAAGUUGAAAAGAACUCUGAAUAGAGAGUUAAACAGUACGUGAAACUGCUUAGAGGUUAAGCCCGAUGAACCUGAAUAUCCGUUAUGGAAAAUUCAUCAUUAAAAUUGUAAUAUUUAAAUAAUAUUAUGAGAAUAGUGUGCAUUUUUUCCAUAUAAGGACAUUGUAAUCUAUUAGCAUAUACCAAAUUUAUCAUAAAAUAUAACUUAUAGUUUAUUCCAAUUAAAUUGCUUGCAUUUUAACACAGAAUAAAUGUUAUUAAUUUGAUAAAGUGCUGAUAGAUUUAUAUGAUUACAGUGCGUUAAUUUUUCGGAAUUAUAUAAUGGCAUAAUUAUCAUUGAUUUUUGUGUUUAUUAUAUGCACUUGUAUGAUUAACAAUGCGAAAGAUUCAGGAUACCUUCGGGACCCGUCUUGAAACACGGACCAAGGAGUCUAACAUAUGUGCAAGUUAUUGGGAUAUAAACCUAAUAGCGUAAUUAACUUGACUAAUAAUGGGAUUAGUUUUUUAGCUAUUUAUAGCUAAUUAACACAAUCCCGGGGCGUUCUAUAUAGUUAUGUAUAAUGUAUAUUUAUAUUAUUUAUGCCUCUAACUGGAACGUACCUUGAGCAUAUAUGCUGUGACCCGAAAGAUGGUGAACUAUACUUGAUCAGGUUGAAGUCAGGGGAAACCCUGAUGGAAGACCGAAACAGUUCUGACGUGCAAAUCGAUUGUCAGAAUUGAGUAUAGGGGCGAAAGACCAAUCGAACCAUCUAGUAGCUGGUUCCUUCCGAAGUUUCCCUCAGGAUAGCUGGUGCAUUUUAAUAUUAUAUAAAAUAAUCUUAUCUGGUAAAGCGAAUGAUUAGAGGCCUUAGGGUCGAAACGAUCUUAACCUAUUCUCAAACUUUAAAUGGGUAAGAACCUUAACUUUCUUGAUAUGAAGUUCAAGGUUAUGAUAUAAUGUGCCCAGUGGGCCACUUUUGGUAAGCAGAACUGGCGCUGUGGGAUGAACCAAACGUAAUGUUACGGUGCCCAAAUUAACAACUCAUGCAGAUACCAUGAAAGGCGUUGGUUGCUUAAAACAGCAGGACGGUGAUCAUGGAAGUCGAAAUCCGCUAAGGAGUGUGUAACAACUCACCUGCCGAAGCAACUAGCCCUUAAAAUGGAUGGCGCUUAAGUUGUAUACCUAUACAUUACCGCUAAAGUAGAUGAUUUAUAUUACUUGUGAUAUAAAUUUUGAAACUUUAGUGAGUAGGAAGGUACAAUGGUAUGCGUAGAAGUGUUUGGCGUAAGCCUGCAUGGAGCUGCCAUUGGUACAGAUCUUGGUGGUAGUAGCAAAUAAUCGAAUGAGACCUUGGAGGACUGAAGUGGAGAAGGGUUUCGUGUGAACAGUGGUUGAUCACGAGUUAGUCGGUCCUAAGUUCAAGGCGAAAGCCGAAAAUUUUCAAGUAAAACAAAAAUGCCUAACUAUAUAAACAAAGCGAAUUAUAAUACACUUGAAUAAUUUUGAACGAAAGGGAAUACGGUUCCAAUUCCGUAACCUGUUGAGUAUCCGUUUGUUAUUAAAUAUGGGCCUCGUGCUCAUCCUGGCAACAGGAACGACCAUAAAGAAGCCGUCGAGAGAUAUCGGAAGAGUUUUCUUUUCUGUUUUAUAGCCGUACUACCAUGGAAGUCUUUCGCAGAGAGAUAUGGUAGAUGGGCUAGAAGAGCAUGACAUAUACUGUUGUGUCGAUAUUUUCUCCUCGGACCUUGAAAAUUUAUGGUGGGGACACGCAAACUUCUCAACAGGCCGUACCAAUAUCCGCAGCUGGUCUCCAAGGUGAAGAGUCUCUAGUCGAUAGAAUAAUGUAGGUAAGGGAAGUCGGCAAAUUAGAUCCGUAACUUCGGGAUAAGGAUUGGCUCUGAAGAUUGAGAUAGUCGGGCUUGAUUGGGAAACAAUAACAUGGUUUAUGUGCUCGUUCUGGGUAAAUAGAGUUUCUAGCAUUUAUGUUAGUUACUUGUUCCCCGGAUAGUUUAGUUACGUAGCCAAUUGUGGAACUUUCUUGCUAAAAUUUUUAAGAAUACUAUUUGGGUUAAACCAAUUAGUUCUUAUUAAUUAUAACGAUUAUCAAUUAACAAUCAAUUCAGAACUGGCACGGACUUGGGGAAUCCGACUGUCUAAUUAAAACAAAGCAUUGUGAUUAGGGAUCAUGGGGUAUUUGAGAGCAGAGGGGGAGUAUUCUUCUGUAAUUCGUAAGUCAUAUCAUAUGAUGUGCGGAAGGGGAAUUUUACUCUGUAACUCACAAGUCUCUCCUUUACUCAAGUCGACUCAAAACCUCCUCGUGGUGGUCCCCGGUAAUGCUAAACUCGUUUAGCAGCUAAUUUGAGCGGCAAAACUUUUCCGAUGGGCUGGUUCCCCAGAGGAAAUUUAUUCAUAUUGGAACUACAAGCACAAAUAACGAGCCUCGGAUACCUUUACACAAUCUGAUGACGACCCGACCCUCCGUGGAUAUCUUCCCGGAGGACCAAUAUGAACCAAACGCAGCGGCUACUCUAUCUAGGGUUCCCUGCACAGUAUGUGGCCGGUCCUUUAACAGCAAGAGAGGACUCGGUGUUCACAUGCGAUCUCGGCACCCAGACGAACUUGAUGAAGAACGUCGACGUGUCGAUAUAAAGGCAAGAUGGAGUGAUGAAGAGAAGUGGAUGAUGGCGAGAAAGGAGGUUGAGCUCACAGCAAAUGGAUGUAAACACAUAAACAAGCAACUAGCGGUGUAUUUUGCAAACCGCAGCGUCGAAGCCAUCAAAAAGCUAAGACAGAGGGGCGAUUAUAAGGAGAAAAUAGAGCAGAUAAGAGGGCAAUCAGCUCUCGCCCCGGAAGUUGCUAAUCUAACCAUAAGGCGCCGCCCUAGUAGAAGUGAGCAAGACCACCAAGUAACAACAUCGGAAACAACUCCAAUCACUCCCUUCGAACAGUCGAACAGGGAAAUUUUGCGGACACUACGCGGGUAUAGCCCCGUAGAAUGCCAUUCCAAAUGGAGAGCCCAAGAGUU